CGCGCGUCCUCUCCCUCGAAGCCACACACAACAACUUUCAAACCUCGGUGCUUCCGAAAAAUCCAUCGGGUAUUGGUAUUAAGGAAAGGUAUCACCUUGUGCUGAGACAGAAGCUUUCAGGGUUCUUUGUGAAUUUUUUUAGAGCUUUUGAUUUCUAUCUGGGGCCUGGAGUUUGGAGAGCUUGAUAGGUGAAGAUGCUAACAUAUGGAGAAUCCAGAAUUCACUUGAAGAGGGGCUUUUCCAUCGGAUCGAAAUGCACAGAUUGAAAGCAUUUUGACAGAGCAUUGCAGAUCGAUGAACUCUUACAUGUGAUAUGGACGGAUCUCUAGCCUUUUCAUGGAUCACGAACAUGGAACUUUGAGCUCCAUCAGAUAUGGUCGGUUCAUGCUUCCUAAAUCUGGGUUUUGUUGAAAUGAGGGCCUGAAGAUCUGUAUAUCUCAAGACUGAGAGAUUAAAGAUGAUAUGUCUAAAGGAGGAGAAAAAACCUGAAGAGAGGAAAGCUCAUGCUCUGUUUGAGGUGAGUUUCUGUUUGAUC